GUGGGGAAUAUUGCACAAUGGGCGAAAGCCUGAUGCAGCAACGCCGCGUGAAGGAAGACGGUUUUCGGAUUGUAAACUUCUAUCAAUAGGGAAGAAAGGAAUGACGGUACCUAAAUAAGAAGCCCCGGCUAACUACGUGCCAGCAGCCGCGGUAAUACGUAGGGGGCAAGCGUUAUCCGGAAUUACUGGGUGUAAAGGGAGAGUAGGCGGCAAGGUAAGCGAUAUGUGAAAGCCUUAGGCUUAACCUGAGGAUUGCAUAACGAACUAUCUAGCUAGAGUACAGGAGAGGAAAGCGGAAUUCUUAGUGUAGCGGUGAAAUGCGUAGAUAUUAGGAAGAACACCAGUGGCGAAGGCGGCUUUCUGGACUGAAACUGACGCUGAGGCUCGAAAGCGUGGGGAGCGAACAGGAUUAGAAACCCCUGUAGUCC
rnacentral:rRNA from 1 species